rnacentral:rRNA from 1 species
AACGAACGCUGGCGGCAGGCUUAACACAUGCAAGUCGAACGCCCCGCAAGGGGAGUGGCAGACGGGUGAGUAACGCGUGGAAUCUACCUAGUUCUACGGAACAACAGUUGGAAACGACUGCUAAUACCGUAUACGCCCUACGGGGAAAGAUUUAUCGGAAUUAGAUGAGCCCGCGUAAGAUUAGCUAGUUGGUGAGGUAA